ensembl:lncRNA
CAAAGCCAUAUACACAGGCCUUACCCAAAGCCAUAUACACAGGCCUUACCCAAAGCCAUAUACAGGCCUUAUCCAAAGCCAUAUACACAGGCCUUACCCAAAGCCAUAUACAGGCCUUACCCAAAGCCAUAUACACAGGCCUUACCCAAAGCCAUAUACACAGGCCUUACCCAAAGCCAUAUACACAGGCCUUAUCCAAAGCCAUAUACACAGGCCUUACCCAAAGCCAUAUACACAGGCCUUACCCAAAGCCAUAUACAGGCCUUACCCAAAGCCAUAUACAGGCCUUACCCAAAGCCAUAUACAGGCCUUACCCAAAGCCAUAUACAGGCCUUACCCAAAGCCAUAUACAGGCCUUACCCAAAGCCCCAUAUACAGGCCUUACCCAAAGCCAUAUACACAGGCCUUACCCAAAGCCCCAUAUACAGGCCUUACCCAAAGCCCCAUAUACAGGCCUUACCCAAAGCCAUAUACAGGCCUUACCCAAAGCCGUAUAUAAGACUUACUCAAAGCCAUAUACACAGGCCUUACCCAAAGCUGUAUAUAAGACUUACUCAAAGCCAUAUACACAGGCCUUAUCCAAAGCCAUAUACACAGGCCUUACCCAAAGCCGUAUAAAAUACUUACUCAAAGCCAUAUACACAGGCCUUAUCCAAAGCCAUAUACACAGGCCUUACCCAAAGCCGUAUAAAAUACUUACUCAAAGCCAUAUACACAGUCCUUAUCCAAAGCCAUAUACACAGGCCUUACCCAAAGCCAUAUACAGG